AACGAACGCUGGCGGCAGGCCUAACACAUGCAAGUCGAGCGCGCCUUCGGGUGAGCGGCGGACGGGUGAGUAACGCGUGGGAAUAUGCCCUUCUCUACGGAAUAGUCCUGGGAAACUGGGGGUAAUACCGUAUACGCCCUUUGGGGGAAAGAUUUAUCGGGGAAGGAUUAGCCCGCGUUGGAUUAGGUAGUUGGUGGGUAAUGGCCUACCAAGCCGACGAUCCAUAGCUGGUUUGAGAGGAUGAUCAGCCACACUGGGACUGAGACACGGCCCAGACUCCUACGGGAGGCAGCAGUGGGGAAUCUUAGACAAUGGGGGCAACCCUGAUCUAGCCAUGCCGCGUGAGUGAUGAAGGCCUUAGGGUUGUAAAGCUCUUUCAGCUGGGAAGAUAAUGACGGUACCAGCAGAAGAAGCCCCGGCUAACUCCGUG
rnacentral:rRNA from 1 species